UACGUAGGGUGCAAGCGUUGUCCGGAAUUAUUGGGCGUAAAGAGCUCGUAGGCGGUUUGUCGCGUCUGCUGUGAAAACCCGAGGCUCAACCUCGGGCCUGCAGUGGGUACGGGCAGACUAGAGUACUGCAGGGGAGACUGGAAUUCCUGGUGUAGCGGUGGAAUGCGCAGAUAUCAGGAGGAACACCGGUGGCGAAGGCGGGUCUCUGGGCCGAUACUGACGCUGGAGGAGCGAAAGCGUGGGGAGCAAACAGG
rnacentral:rRNA from 1 species